GAUGAACGCUGGCGGCGUGCCUAAUACAUGCAAGUCGAGCGAACAGACGAGGAGCUUGCUCCUCUAACGUUAGCGGCGGACGGGUGAGUAACACGUGGAUAACCUACCUAUAAGACUGGGAUAACUUCGGGAAACCGGAGCUAAUACCGGAUAAUAUAUUGAACCGCAUGGUUCAAUAGUGAAAGACGGUUUUGCUGUCACUAAGGGAUGGCCCCGCGGUGCAUUAGCUAGUUGGUAAGGUAACGGCUUACCAAGGCGACGAUGCAUAGCCGAGUUGAGAGACUGAUCGGCCACAUUGGGACUGAGACACGGCCCAA
rnacentral:rRNA from 1 species